rnacentral:lncRNA from 1 species
AUAAUAAUGUAGCACCGAGAUACGGUAAUUAACAAGAAUAACAACGACACCAAAAUUUUUACAUGGAAAACCCUUUUGAAUAAGGGAAAAAACCACGACCCCGAGAGAAGCAACUGAUAUCACUAUAGUAAGGAAUUUUAUACUUCGUAGUACCGAGUAAAAUACUCCAAAGACCACUAUACACUCAAAAGAAAUAACCCUCUUUUGAUAUUUCCACCUUACUACAAUAUCGCUCACUCUCUA